AUGAACGCUAGCGGGAGGCCUAACACAUGCCAGCCGAGCGGUAGAGUCUCUUCGGAGACUUGAGAGCGGCGCACGGGUGCGGGACACGUGUGCAACCUGCCUUUAUCUGGGGGAUAGCCUUUCGAAGGGAAGAUUAAUACCCCAUAAUAUACUGGAUGGCAUCAUCUGGUAUUGAAAACUCCGGUGGAUAGAGAUGGGCACGCGCAAGAUUAGAUAGUUGGUGAGGUAACGGCUCACCAAGUCAGCGAUCUUUAGGGGGCCUGAGAGGGUGAUCCCCCACACUGGUACUGAGACACGGACCAGACUCCUACGGGAGGCAGCAGUGAGGAAUAUUGGACAAUGGGUGAGAGCCUGAUCCAGCCAUCCCGCGUGAAGGACGACGGCCCUAUGGGUUGUAAACUUCUUUUGUAUAGGGAUAAACCUAGAUACGUGUAUCUAGCUGAAGGUACUAUACGAAUAAGCACCGGCUAACUCCGUG
rnacentral:rRNA from 1 species